rnacentral:rRNA from 1 species
AUUGAACGCUGGCGGCAGGCCUAACACAUGCAAGUCGAGCGGAUGAAGGGAGCUUGCUCCUGGAUUCAGCGGCGGACGGGUGAGUAAUGCCUAGGAAUCUGCCUGGUAGUGGGGGAUAACGUCCGGAAACGGGCGCUAAUACCGCAUACGUCCUGAGGGAGAAAGUGGGGGAUCUUCGGACCUCACGCUCUCAGAUGAGCCUAGGUCGGAUUAGCUAGUUGGUGGGGUAAAGGCCUACCAAGGCGACGAUCCGUAACUGGUCUGAGAGGAUGAUCGGUCACACUGGAGCUGAGACACGGUCCAGGCUCCUACGGGAGGGAGCAGUGGGCAAUAUUGGACAAUGGGCGAAAGCCUGAUCCAGCCAGGCCGCGUGUGUGAAGAAGGUCUUCGGAUUGUAAAGCACUUUAAGUUGGGAUGAAGGGCAGUAAGUUAAGACCUUGCUGUUUUGACGUUACCAACAGAAUAAGCACCGGCUAACUUCGUG